GUGAAUCAUCGAAUCUUUGAACGCACCUUGCGCUCCUUGGUAUUCCGAGGAGCAUGCCUGUUUGAGUGUCAUUAAAUUAUCAACUUCAUCAGUUCUGCUGUCAUGAGGCUUGGAUGUGGGGGUUUGUGCAGAAAGCUUCACAGUGUACUGCUCCCCUUAAAUAAAUUAGCGAGUUUAAACUAGGCUCCGUCUAUUGGUGUGAUAAUUAUCUACGCCGUGGAUAUGGCUUAGACUUGCUUCUAAUUGUCUGUAAGGACAAGCUUUUGACAAUUUGACCUCAAAUCAGGUAGGACUACCCGC
rnacentral:misc_RNA from 1 species